UACCUCGGACCGGGCCAGAGCCCAGUCGGGGC
rnacentral:sRNA from 1 species